rnacentral:rRNA from 1 species
UACGUAGGGGGCAAGCGUUUGUCCGGAUUUAUUGGGCGUAAAGAGCGUGUAGGCGGCCAGACAGGUCCGUUGUGAAAACUCGAGGCUCAACCUCGAGACGUCGACGGAAACCGUCUGGCUAGAGUCCGGAAGAGGAGUGUGGAAUUCCUGGUGUAGCGGUGAAAUGCGCAGAUAUCAGGAAGAACACCUAUGGCGAAGGCAGCACUCUGGGACGGUACUGACGCUGAGACGCGAAAGCGUGGGGAGCGAACAGGAUU